AAAGUACUCCCUCCGUCUCAAAAUUCUUGUCUUAGAUUUGUCUAGAUACGGAUGUAUCAAGUCACAUUUUAGUAUUAGAUACAUCUGUAUCUAGACAAAUCUAAGACAAGAAAUUUGGGACAGAGGGAGUAGUUG
rnacentral:pre_miRNA from 1 species